GCAAGUCGACCGAAUGAGCUUAGACAGAUUUCUUCGGAAUGACGACUAAGUGAUUUAGUGGCGAACGGGUGAGUAACACGUGAGAAACCUGCCUUUCACAGAGGGAUAGCCGUUGGAAACGACGAUUAAUACCUCAUGACAUCAACAGAUCGCAUGGUCAGUUGAUUAAAGAUUUUAUCGGUGAGAGAUGGUCUUGCGCCUGAUUAGCUAGUUGGUGGAAUAAAAGCCUACCAAGGCAACGAUCAGUAACCGGCCUGAGAGGGUGAACGGUCACACUGGAACUGAGACACGGUCCAGACUCCUACGGGAGGCAGCAGUGGGGAAUUUUGCACAAUGGGGGAAACCCUGAUGCAGCGACGUCGCGUGAAUGAUGAAGGCCUUCGGGUUGUAAAGUUCUGUCCUUAGCGAAGAUAAUGACAGUAGCUAAGAAGAAAGCUCCGGCUAAAUACGUGCCAGCAGCCGCGGUAAUACGUAUGGAGCGAGCGUUGUCCGGAAUUAUUGGGCGUAAAGGGUACGUAGGCGGUUGUUCAAGUCUACAUUUAAAGGCAUGGGCUCAACCCAUGUUUGGUGUAGAAACUGGACAACUUGAGUAGAUGAGGGGUAAGUGGAAUUCCUAGUGUAGCGGUGAAAUGCUUAGAUAUUAGGAGGAAUACCGGUGGCGAAGGCGACUUACUGGAAUCUAACUGACGCUGAGGUACGAAAGCGUGGGGAGCAAACAGGAUUAGAUACCCUGGUAGUCCACGCUGUAAACGAUGCAUGCUAGGUGUCGGGAGUCAAAUCUCGGCGCCGCCGCUAACGCAU
rnacentral:rRNA from 1 species